AAUUCCCUCUAAUAAAUCAAAUUUUUUUUAGUUUUCUGACAGAGUUUUGUUUUCAUGAAAACACCUCAACAGAAUAAAAAACUUAAAACUGAAAAGCUAGAGUAUAGUUUUCAAAACAAGUACUUGGAUGAUGUUGUUGACGAGGAUCUGCUUUCACUAUGUCGCGAGUAUUCAGAUGAAAAAACAAAUUCUCCCGAAAAACAAAAUUCAACUCAAAACUUUUCUACUUCAAUCAAUACCCAAGCAACUAUAACAACCAGCAACACUACAAUUUGUUGUAAACACUGCCAUUCUCAAUCCAAUAUUGAAACAGUAUUAAUUCCCUGCCAUUUGUACAUUUGCCGCACGUGUCUUUCAAAACGUCGUGACACGGACCACUACCGAUGUAUUUCGCAAGGUCGAGCGAUGAGGAAGUUUGCGUUAACAUUAGAAGAGUUAAGAACUGGAACUGUUUAUUGUAAAGAUAAACUAUUCAAAAUACCACUUAUUGUUAAACAAAAUCGUAAUCCUCAAGGUUUUGGUGCUCCUAUGAAAUUAUAUUACGAGUUCCAAGUAAGAUUUUUAUUGGAGUUAGCUAUAGCUAAACACGGUUCCCUCAAUGAACUUUCUAGAGUGAUUGAAAAUCGUGAAAGUUGUUGUUUUCAACGAACUGUUCAAAAAAAAAUAGCGAAAAAAUCCAAAAGAUGCGACACAAAAAGCAGACAUACUUCAGAAGCACUCCCCAAAUUCCGACCUAACAUAAGUGACAACUUGAAGAAGUUGAAAACAAGUCAAUUGACUGAAAUAGUUGAUGAGGAAACCCCAACUGAUGGACUUUUACAGGAAUGGGAAGAAAUUUGAAAUGCCUAUUCAAUAACACUUGAGUUUCCUUGAUCGAUAGACGCUAACCAAUCCUGAUGUUUUUUAGUAUGUUUUUCCAAAAGCUACAAAAAGAAUAAUAUUAAACUUAAAGCCUCACCAUUAGCAUAUGAUACAGGAACACCAUCCUUGUCUACUUCACCAUAUAUAUUAGGAUUUAGAGUUAUAAAGUAAUCUCUUG